UCUAAGUACCAAUUAACUUAGCCUAAUGCUAGCAAAAUAAUGAUAAAUAAUAGGUGUUAAUAUUUGCAUUAUUAAUAUUUUAUCUUUAGCACUUAUUAUAAUUUUUAGCAUUAUUCUGUAUAAAUUCAUCUAAAAAGGACUCAUCUUUCCAACUGCAGAACAGAAUCCAUGACUCUCCUUCUGCGCACCCGAGCAACUUCCCAAAUUCCGCGAUGCAACUCAAGCUUCCAGCCAUCUGCAGUCAAUUAACUUUGUGAUUCCAAAUCAGCAUCAUCCCAAGCGCCAGCAUCAGUUGCUUUUCCAUCUGCACCAUCCACGUUCCAGCAUAUCAGAACUCCUCCCUCCCCAUCUUGACCGCUUCCUCAUCCUUCCAGCGUUUCGUGUCCAACUUGUC
rnacentral:lncRNA from 1 species